rnacentral:rRNA from 1 species
UACGUAGGGGGCAAGCGUUGUCCGGAUUUAUUGGGCGUAAAGAGCUCGUAGGUGGUUCGGUAAGUCUGAUGUGAAAGCCCACGGCUCAACCGUGGAGGGUCAUUGGAAACUGGGGGACUUGAGUGCAGAAGGGGAAAGCGGAAUUCCACGUGUAGCGGUGAAAUGCGUAGAGAUGUGGAGGAACACCAGUGGCGAAGGCGGCUUUCUGGUCUGUAACUGACGCUGAGGCGCGAAAGCGUGGGGAGCAAACAGG